GUGAGCCUGAGGGUGAAGGUGACGGGCAUAGGUCUGUGCUCUGUUCGUGCUGCUUUUCGCGUGAGAACCUUAAGGACGUGGAAGCGGACCGGGGCGGCGGGCGGGGCGUCUCUUGACGGGUGCUGCCGUUUAUUCUUUAAUCCCGUAAACAGCUGACUUAGUUCAACUCUUCUAAAAUAAAAUCUUACAUGGAAUCCCAGAUACAUGAAGUGAAUCCAAGAUUCACGCUGCAGUCGUGCACGUGUGGUGAGUGUUCCUCACAGCAGAGUCACUAGCAGCACAAGAUGACGACCCUUCUCUUCAGCUCAGAGUCUGAGCAGGUACUAAAAUCCUGGGCUCCUGCCCUGUGUUCUUCCUUCUACUUAACUCUGAGUCAGAUGAGGACUUAGAGACCUCUGAGAGCAAGAAGGCCUCCAGUGAUUCGAGCAGCACAGAAAGCACAUGUAAGCUCCUGACACUGACCUUUGACUGCUGAGGCAUCUAUUUCAAAGGCAUCCAUUCGAAUAAACACACUGCAGCUGCAGACACAGCUACUGGCUACCAUCAGGUGCAGUUCCCACCCUAGUGCUUUAAAGGUACCAACACAGAGGGAACCUGUGAAUCCCAAAUGCCCCACCCUCCGACCCUGAUAAAAGCCAAGCCCAGGUUUGCGAUCCCUCCCUCCCCACUUCCCUGCCACCACCCCUCCGUGUGGCCUUGGGUGUGCUGUGUACCCUCAGGACCUGCGGGAACAACCCUUGCUCCUCACACUCCCCUGAUGUUUGUUGCUGAGGUGUGCCCCAGGAUCCUAAGAACCACAAGGGCUGACCAGGCUGCGACAGUGGCCCUAGCAGUGGGCACGCAUGUGGGGGACCUGCUGUGAGUAACCACAGGCAUGGAGCACCUCGUGUUCCCAGCCAUGCACAUCACCAUCAGUGGGCUGGAGGACAUGACACAGACUGAAUGCAGACGGAUGGGGACAUGUCACUACCUGCAUAGAAGGCACACUCAGAAGGCCCUUGGAAGCAUUAAGGUCUGACCCCACAUUCAGGAAGGCUCUGAAAGGACCAUCCCGUGGCAUCCCACCCUGUCAUCACCAAGGUCUGCGAGGACACCUGCUCCCCAUGACUGCCAUGGCAGAACUGAAACCUACAUCUGCUUAAUGUCAGACAGGGUCGAGACGCUGUGGACACUCAACAAUGAUUCAGUUCAUCACUGAUUUUUCACUUGGAUCGACACAACAGUUAAUUCGUAUUCAAGUGAACAUCCCUCUGUGGCAGCCAAAAGGUGUGGCCCUCAGAUGUCCCGCCAACAAGAGCUGCCCUCUGGCUACACAGAAUGCAGUGAGCUGACAGCCUCCAGCUGCAGAGCCUUUAGGACUGGACCCCCAACCACUCCUUCCCAGGCAGCCCUGGUCAAGGCCUGAGCACAGUGGGGGUGUGAGGACCUGCGCCCUUCUGCCCUGGCAGGCACUGCACUGGUUCAGACUCUGGCGGAUUGCAUGACCUCUGAGGCCCUCUCUGUGGAUUCUGCUUCCUACCCUUUCUCCUCUGGGGCAUGACACUUAGCCUCCCACCCCAAGCAAUCUCUAACACUCCUGGCUCUUCCUCGAGGACCCCCACACACACCUGUACAACCAUCGAUCACCAUGCACACCUAUCUGGUAAGUUUCCUCACAAGAAGUCCCUAGGAAGUAAUUACUGGUCAGAGGUAUAAACAUAUUACCAAACUCCUCACAUUUCCACAAUCACUAUAAAAAUAAAAUAUCAUUUCAUUAUAUAGUCAUCAAUACAGGGUGUUAAUUUUUAAGUAUCAAUCUGUUAGGCAAAAACUGAAAUCUUAAUUUGAUUUCCGGUAUUUUGAACACUUUUUUUCAGGUUACUGGCCUAAAAAGUACAUGGUAUAUUUUCAUUCAUCACCAGUUCAUGUUUUCCCAUUUGCCUAUCACGGCAUUCUUUUCUCUCUUAUUAACGAGACCUGUUGAAUAUAACUCUAUGCUUGUCCUAUGUAUUACAAAUGUCCUUUCCUGAUUUGUCACUGAUCUUCUCAAUUUCCAUAGAGCUCAAUCUA